rnacentral:rRNA from 1 species
AGAUUGAACGCUGGCGGCAUGCCUAACACAUGCAAGUCGAACGGGAGUAGCAAUACUCUAGUGGCGGACGGGUGAGGAAUACGUAGGAAUUUGCCCUUAAGUGGGGAAUAACCCGGGGAAACCCGGAUUAAUACCGCAUGACCUCGAAAGAGCAAAGUGGGGGAUCGCAAGACCUCACGCUUUUGGAGAAGCCUACGUCGGAUUAGCUAGUUGGUGAGGUAAUGGCUCACCAAGGCGACGAUCCGUAACUGGUCUGAGAGGAUGAUCAGUCACACCGGACUGAGACACGGUCCGGACUCC